rnacentral:misc_RNA from 1 species
AGCGGUAAUGCAGUCAGAAGGUUUUCGACACUUGGAAGAGAGUUGCCCUUCACUGUUGUGUGAGAUGCUAAAGACAUUUGCAUCAGGAGAUGAGAACUCAAGUCUGCUAUCAGGUCGGAAGAGAAGUGGUAGCAGCAUAUAUGGGCUCGAUCUAGGAGCGGCAGAUGGGGCUGCAGCAGAAUCAGUGAAUCCCAACGCCAGGCGUGUGAGGCGGCGGUUUUAGGAUGUAUAGUGUUG